rnacentral:sRNA from 1 species
UAUAAUAUGUUAAAUCAAAGCUCUCGCGACCAAGAGUUCAACUCUACCUUUAAAAAU